GGUAUAAUGGUCAAUUGCUUUUCAGUAUACCUUUAGUAUUUUUAUUUUCAUUUUUUUCUUUCCUUCUCAAUUGCUCAAACACAGAACCACGCGAGAGAGAACCUUCACUUCUCAUCGCAACCUUCAUCGUUCCUUCAUCGUUUUCCUUCUCACUUCUCUUAUUCUUCCAAAAACAAUCUCCACCUUCAUCGAUUCAUCUUCAUCUUCAUCUUGCUCACACAUCUUCAUCAUUCUUCACCUUCACAGAACAUCGAUUCAUCGCCAUCUUCACCUUGCUGCUCGCAUAAAUCGCUUCAACACAAAAGAUUCAAUUUCAUUCCGAUUUCAAUAUCUUCGCCAUCUUCACCUCAAAUUUCGAUUUCAAGGUACUAUACAUUGGUGAGAAAAUAGGCUUUGGUAUUGGUAGGACAAGGAAGGAUGCUCAACAACUAGCUACCGAGAAUGCCCUUCGCAGCUUAGCAGAACAUCGAUUCAUCGCCAUCUUCACCUUGUUGCCCGCAUAAAUUGCAUAAAUCGCUUCAACACAAAAGAUUCAAUUUCAUUCCGAUUUCAAUAUCUUCGCCAUCUUCACCUCAAAUUUCGAUUUCAAGAUGAGGAUAAAGAAUACACUGAACCAUCUAAAUAAGUUGAUCGAUUAUAAUUCUAACUUGAACGAAGCGCAAAAGAACCGACAUAAAGGUGUCGUUGAUAUGACAGACCACAUAAAGGUUAGUGGACCUUUGUUAGAAGAGUUGUUGGGUAGAUGGGA